CUUGCUCCUGUUGGUUAGCGGCGGACGGGUGAGUAACACGUGGGCAACCUGCCUGUAAGACUGGGAUAACUUCGGGAAACCGGAGCUAAUACCGGAUAAUCCUUUUCCUCUCAUGAGGAAAAGCUGAAAGUCGGUUUUUACUUGACCCUUACAAAGGGGCCCGCGGCGCUUUACCUAUUUGGGGAGGAAAGGGUUCCCCAAGGCGACAAUGCGUACCCGACCUGAAAGGGGGAUCGGCCACCCUGGAACUGAAACCCGGCCCAAACUCCUACGGAAGGCAGCAGAAGGAAAUCUUCCGCAAGGGACAAAAGUCUGACGGACCAACGCCGCGGGAGCGAUGAAGGCCUUCGGGUCGAAAAGUUCUGUUGUUAGGAAAAAACAAGAAUCGAAGUAACUGCCGAUACCUUGACGGAACCUACCCAAAAAGCCACGGUUAACUACGUGCCACCAGCCGCGGAAAUACGUAGGGGGCAAGCGUUGUCCGGAAUUAUUGGGCGUAAAGCGCGCGCAGGCGGUCCUUUAAGUCUGAUGUGAAAGCCCACGGUUCAACCGUGAAGGGUCAUUGAAAACUGGGGAACUUGAGUGCAGAAGAGGAAAGCGAAAUUCCACGUGUAGCGGUGAAAU
rnacentral:rRNA from 2 species